rnacentral:rRNA from 1 species
GAUGAACGCUGGCGGCGUGCCUAAUACAUGCAAGUCGAGCGGACAGAUAAGGAGCUUGCUCCUUUGACGUUAGCGGCGGACGGGUGAGUAACACGUGGGUAACCUACCUAUAAGACUGGGAUAACUUCGGGAAACCGGAGCUAAUACCGGAUAAUAUUUCGAACCGCAUGGUUCGAUAGUGAAAGAUGGUUUUGCUAUCACUUAUAGAUGGACCCGCGCCGUAUUAGCUAGUUGGUAAGGUAACGGCUUACCAAGGCGACGAGACGUAGCCGACCUGAGAGGGGGAUCGGCCACACUGGAACUGAGACACGGUCCAGACUCCUGCGGGAGGCAGCAGUAGGGAAUCUUACGCAAUGGGCGAAAGCCUGACGGAGCAACGCCGCGUGAGUGAUGAAGGUCUUCGGAUCGUAAAACUCUGUUAUUAGGGAAGAACAUACGUGUAAGUAACUGUGCACGUCUUGACGGUACCUAAUCAGAAAGCCACGGCUAACUACGUG